rnacentral:lncRNA from 1 species
CAAGGAGUACAUGUGCAGGUUUUUUACAUGGUAUAUUGUGUAAUGCCGAAGUUUGGAGUACGACGGAUCCCAUCACCCAGGUUCCAUUGAAGACUUGACGAAGGCGAAGAAUCUGCAACACCUUUUGGACCUUUGGGCUCACACCAUUGAUACCUCUGAUCUUGAUGACAAAGGCCAAUUUGGCUUCUGCAGGUACAUAGAAAUUGCCAGCUUUUCUUGCCAUCCUCGCCAUUCGAAUUUCAGUUCUGUAAAUCUGCCUAUAUUCCUUGUAAUAGUGCUUCUCUUUUUCAUAGAUAAGCUUCCUCCUUGCCUUUCAAAGCAUCUUUUGGGCAAACUUCUUUCUCAGGCGCUUGAUCUUCAGCUCUGUGAAAUUCCUUUGCUUUUUCUUAAGGGUUUCUGUCACAGCAGAAACCUCCUUCUUCUUCUCUUCUACACCCUCCAUGGUUCCAGUUGGAAAAAGAGGAAGUUCUAUUUUCCAGUUUUUAAAGAAAUUUUCACAUUAGGGAGCAUUACAGGAACUGAGAAAGAAGCUUGCAUCUACAAAAUAGAAAGAAUACACAGUUGUCUCAGUUGAGGAGAGAAUUGUGCGUGUGUUCUAAAAUCUUUUCUCUUUGCAGUAUAACAAUCUGUUGGUAAAUAAUAAAUUGCCAUUUUCUUUAAAGUGAAUUAUUUAGGAAAUAUGGUUCCUCUCAAUGUUUUUGAAACUAUCUUAAAAUAAAUUAGUUGCUAUGUGUAUAAACAACAGUUCUUUCAGAUCAUUAGGAAACAUUUUAACCAGUUUCAUUGUUAGGGAGAACAAUUACAUAAGUUGGUCAGAUGCGUUAGACAAAAGGUUUUGGUUAAAUCCAAGUCUGGGUCACUUCGCAUCUCCUUCUAAUUUAAAUUAGAUUUAAAUUUCCAAAACACCCAAUAGUUACUUGAGGAGAUUAGGUGGAAGAACAUGAAUGAAUUGGCACAAAUAUAUCAAUAUUCUUCACAAAUUAGGGAUGCUCUGGUAGAAUGUGUGUUUCUAUGGAGAUGAGAAUAACUCUGAGGCCAUUGUCAUGGUCUUGAAUGACUGGGGUUCUAAUAAUUCAGCAACAUUCUGUGCUUAUGUAUAAACUACUAUUCAUAGCAACUGGCCCAUUGACAUUUUUGCAAAGCCACUUUUGACACUCUAUUAAAGCUUACAUUUGUUUAUGUAUAGAGUGAAUAUUUUAGGAAAUUGAGGCCUGUGUUUUUUUUUAAAAAAAAGAGAAAGUAAGAUUUAUUUAUUCUACGAUCAGCUAUUUUAAAAACAAAGGGAUUACAAUUAACACUUGAGCCUGGAAGUCUCCUCACAUAGCAAAUUGCCAAAGAAUUCCUUCUUAAGAAGCAACAGAGUUAUUACAGAUUCCUGUCUGCAGUCUGCUCCCUAUCCAUAAGCUCCUGAUCUAUGGUAUAUUUGCUGAAUUGUCAGUGAAGUUUCUGCAGAGAAAACUGCCCUCAGUGCUGCAUAGAGGAAAUAAUGCUAGAAGUAGAAUCAAGCUGGCUUGCUGCAUAAUCUCAGCAAAAACACAUAGAUAGCCUCUCUGGGUUUUUAAGAAAAUAAAAAGAAAGGCCAAAGAUUAGAAAAUAUAUUUUCAAAAUAUGUAUUUAAUAAAUCACUUGUAUUAAGAAUAUAUUAACUCUUAUAGCUCAAUAAUAAGAGAAAAAAAUCUCAAUUAAAAAUGGGCAGAAGAUUUGAACACACUUCAUCAAAGAACAUACACAAAUGGCCAACAAACACAUAAAGAGAUGUUCAAUGCUAUUGCUAAUUACCCAAAUUCAAAUUAACCUCAUAAUAAGAUAUUACCACAUACUAGAGUUUAACAGGAGUGAUAGAUAGUACAGAAAAUCAGGAGCAAUUUGAUUCUUGUCUAUACCCUGAUGGGCUGUUUAAAUUGUCUUUUAGAAAUUCUACUUUUUGCCAGAAGAAUAUCUAGUUUUCCUUUAGGAAGAGCAUCUCCAUCUAGUUGUCAUCUCAGAUUUUCUUAGAACCAAAAAGCAUUGCCUAGAGUAAAAUGUUUCUACCCUCUCUUUAGGUUCUGAUAUAUUUUUGUAGCCUGAAAUCCUUCAGUAUAAUUUCUGACCAAAAUAGGGCAUCCCACCCCUAGAAGAAUUUGGAUAAAAUUCUCAUUGCAAGCUUUGUCUUAACUCUUUCAAUGAGAGAAAGAAGUCAAUGGAUUAUAACACUGAGGAGAUUCUUGGAUGAUUCCUCUGAGAGGGGAAUAACACAACCCAGAAAAUGUGUUGAGCAUUCAGGUGUAAGUAGAAGAUGUCUGUGGUUCCUCUACCACAUUGUGAAUCGUAAGUAACCAUCAGAAGGCCCAUCGCCACCUGCUUGCUUAGGAUUUCUGACCCAGGACAGUGAAUGGAGAGCCUUGCCUUAGCUUUGAAUUUCCAAAACACCCAGGCUCAUGGUACAGUAUAGUAUAUGGGGACAGAGAUGGUAAGUGUCAAAAUUUGUAUCUUUCCACAUAAGGCUUGGAUGGUAGGAGGUUUUUAAGAAGAAAAGCAUACCUGGAAAAAUUUUAUAUUCUAAGGGUUAACCUAUAGAUUAAGUAUCUUAAGUUUGUUUUUUCAUAUCCAUCAUUAUGAAGUACUUAGGUCCAGGAGAUCUGUUUGGAAAAACCAGUGAAGUAAUCAUAAGGACAAUUCUAGGAACAAAAUAUUUAUGCACCCCUAUUUUUUGAUGACUUAGACUCAUUAAGGAAUUUCAGCACAAAUGCACAAUUUUCUCAACAAAUAUUAUAAAAAAGAUACUGAAAAGGAUGGGAGAAGAGAAACAAUUGGGGAAAUAAGCAUUUGUAAGAACAUAAAAUGUUAAGAAAAGCUAAACACAUGAGAGUAUUUUAUUAACGCUUUCGUUCCCAUAAAGUAGGAGUUGAGGUCUAACAAGAAUGUUAAACAUUAAAGCUAAAAUUUAAAAUUUGAGAUAAGAGAAAUCAAAUUGAAAAUAAAGGCUAAAACCAAAUUCUAAAACGUCUGUAAAGAAGCAGUAAAAGUUUCAGGCAAAAUGACAAAACCCAAUGGGAUGAGAGCCUGAAGCUGUUAUUCUAGAUGAGAUUAAGGAUAAGGAAGAAUUAAGAGCUAAAAAUAUGGAAGUAAGAAAAAGCUUAAAGGGGAAAAUUGUGAGAAAAUUUGAAAUAUCAUAGAAGAUAAGUCAUUCUGACAUAUUACCAGAAUUAUUCUUCAAAAUGGAAUAAUCCUAUGAUGAUUUGUAAAAUGGCCAUUCUUUAAAAAAUUUUACAUUGCAGUUACAGAAGGAUGAUUCGCUUGUAGUGGGGUGGGCCAUUGGAUAGUGAAAGGCAGGUCAGGGGUGUCAAGGUGCCCCAACCCAGUAUGUGCAGAUGGGAUGGUGGGAUCUAGGUAGACCCAUGAUGAGAACAGAGGGGACAACAUGGAGUCUUGUUGGAAAGGCAGACUUUGUGAUAGCUCUUGCUUGAUUUUAUAUCUUGGUGGACCAUCAGAUUCUGAUUUUAAUGCAAAUACAUUCCAUUCCUUUAAAUAUAUACACUCUCUUCCAUAUGUAUUAUAAAUAAAAAAGAACUUAUUUAGAAUAGCUCUGGGCUCACUCAUGUUUUUGUAUAUUACUGUAUCCUUUUGGAGCUGUUCUCCAAACUCUAGAGGCACCAUUCAGACAGAAGAAAUCAAUUUCAGACACGAUGGGAUAACAGUUUUCAACUCACUGGGCUGCAAGUUUGCAGAUGAUAGGCUUGGAUGGGCUUCUCACAGGGACAAAGAGGACCAGAGAAUUUAAGAGCCUGCUCAGCCAUGCUUCUUGCCCUGAGCCUGGAGCGCAGGCAUUGCCUUACUGAAGGUCAGUCUUCUGAUGACCCUGGAGAGAGGACCAGAGGGGCCUCAGGGAUACUGAAGAGGAGCAUCUCCUUUUGCUAGAGCUAGAGGCAAUUCUCCCUGGAAGGCAGGAAUCCCACCAUGGAGAAUCAACAUGUGGCCAAUCACUGUUCUUUAUGAAUGUACUUCCUUCGGAAUGGAUGAGAAUAACCACAGGAAAUCAUCAUUGAAUAGUAGCUUUAACACAGACUCCUAUAGAAUGGAUAAAUACCUUCUGUCAAGAACACUGCUCCGGGGCACGAAUCCCACUAAAGAGUUGGCUUCAGACACUGGGAACUAUCAAGCAGGUCUCUGGAAAAAUUGUAGAGAAAUUAUCAGUCCUUCACCUGACUUUAAAGGACCCUUCAGUUUGUAGAAGGGGCUCAGAAAAAGAGCUGAUGCAGGUCUUGGCACUGUGCCAGUCAUAGAUGAAGUUGCUCAUCCAUGUCACACUGCCCAACAUGCGUCCGUGGGCCAGAUGCAUGAUGCCCUGCAGAGUAUCGUAAUACUGAGUUGUUAAUUUCAUAGUCUACUAUAGCAUCAAAGAAUGGCAGAGGCAGCUCACAAGCAGGAGAAGACAGCUAGCUGUGAAGCAGUUAAAUGACUGUCUUCCCUUGUGAAUGGUGUUUCUGUCAGUUCCCCGAGUCGUUGUCCUCUGCAACUCUCAAGCUGUCCCUGCUGCUCUGGAGGCAAGAUGUCACUGAGGUGACUGUUGCCCACGGAGGCUUCAUGGCUGGCCCCUGCUUCUGCCACUGGACAAAAACAACCUAAGAGGCCAGGAAGUUUAUUCCUAUGAAAUGUUGCUUCUCCAAAGGCCAUCUCAACUCGAUUACACAUUUUCCAAAUAAAAUCUCUUAUAUAAAAGCUUUUCUUGGGGUUUAUCUUUCUCGAAAGUGAUAUAACUUCAGAUAGAAGCUGAUUUGACCAACCAAAUGACUUUGACUCAGUCUUCUGGUUGAUCAUUAUCAUGUAAGAAA